rnacentral:snRNA from 1 species
GGGUCAAUGAGGGUGAUAUGGCUGUGAUGAUUGUUAUGCAAUGACUAGAGCUCAUUCUCUCAUAAGGCUAUCUGGUAGUGGGUCCCCUCCCUUCCUUACUGAUCCAUCUGGGUCCUUCCCAAGGCUACAUAUUAUAUCAACAAAGAUGACCUUUCUCACAGAGGACCUUUGUUUUUUCCUAGGGUAUAUGAGUAACUGUGUUCCCUGCUAGAACCUCCAAACAAGCUCUCAAAGUAUUGUUAGAAUUAGGAUGUAUGAUUCUAAAAAAUUCUUCAGUGAUAUCUGUCCAAUGGCCUUCUGU